rnacentral:rRNA from 1 species
AGUGAACGCUGGCGGUAGGCCUAACACAUGCAAGUCGAACGGCAGCACAGGAGAGCUUGCUCUCUGGGUGGCGAGUGGCGGACGGGUGAGGAAUACAUCGGAAUCUACUCUGUCGUGGGGGAUAACGUAGGGAAACUUACGCUAAUACCGCAUACGACCUACGGGUGAAAGCAGGGGACCUUCGGGCCUUGCGCGAUUGAAUGAGCCGAUGUCGGAUUAGCUAGUUGGCGGGGUAAAGGCCCACCAAGGCGACGUUCCGUAGCUGGUCAGAGCAGAGGAUCAGCCACAAAGGAACUGGGAAAAGGUCCAGACUCCUACGGGAGGCAGCAGUGGGGAAUAUUGGAAAAUGGGCGCCAGCCUGAUCCAGACACACAGCGUGGGUGAAGAAGGCCUUCGGGUUGUAAAGCCCUUUUGUUGCGAAAGAAAUCCAGCUGGCUAAUACCCGGUUGGGAUGACGGUACCCAAAGCAUAAGCACCGGCUAACUUCGUGCCAGCCGCCGCCGCGG